UUAAUUGAAGAGUUUGAUCAUGGCUCAGAUUGAACGCUGGCGGCAGGCCUAACACAUGCAAGUCGAGCGGCAGCACAGAGAAACUUGUUUCUCGGGUGGCGAG
rnacentral:rRNA from 1 species